rnacentral:rRNA from 1 species
CAGUCGCCGCGGUAAUACAGAGGGUGCGAGCGUUAAUCGGAUUUACUGGGCGUAAAGCGAGCGUAGGCGGCUUUUUAAGUCGGAUGUGAAAUCCCUGAGCUUAACUUAGGAAUUGCAUUCGAUACUGGGAAGCUAGAGUAUGGGAGAGGAUGGUAGAAUUCCAGGUGUAGCGGUGAAAUGCGUAGAGAUCUGGAGGAAUACCGAUGGCGAAGGCAGCCAUCUGGCCUAAUACUGACGCUGAGGUACGAAAGCAUGGGGAGCAAACAGGAUUAGAUACCCCGGUAGUCCCUGUCUCUUAUAA